rnacentral:rRNA from 1 species
AUUGAACGCUGGCGGCAGGCCUAACACAUGCAAGUCGAGCGGAUGAAGGGAGCUUGCUCCUGGAUUCAGCGGCGGACGGGUGAGUAAUGCCUAGGAAUCUGCCUGGUAGUGGGGGAUAACGUCCGGAAACGGGCGCUAAUACCGCAUACGUCCUGAGGGAGAAAGUGGGGGAUCUUCGGACCUCACGCUAUCAGAUGAGCCUAGGUCGGAUUAGCUAGUUGGUGGGGUAAAGGCCUACCAAGGCGACGAUCCGUAACUGGUCUGAGAGGAUGAUCAGUCACCCUGGAACUGGGACACGGUCCAGGCUCCUACGGGAGGCAGCAGUGGGGAAUAUUGGACAAUGGGCGAAAGCCUGAUCCAGCCAUGCCGCGUGUGUGAAGAAGGUCUUCGGAUUGUAAAGCACUUUAAGUUGGGAGGAAGGGCAGUAAGUUAAUACCUUGCUGUUUUGACGUUACCAACAGAAUAAGCACCGGCUAACUUCGUG